rnacentral:lncRNA from 1 species
UCGUUCUCAUUCAUCCUCUUGUUCUUGCUCUUCAACUUUUCAAUAUCAGACUUUAGGUAGUUUGCGAAAAAACCAGAAACCCGGUCGUGUAAAAACUGAAAAUCAGGGUCGCGAUGGUACAUCUCGGCAGCCUUGUUGGCAAUGGCAAUGGUCUUGUCUCUGAUUCGACAAUGGACGUCAUCAGAAUUUGAGUGUUGGCUGCUGAUUAGUUGUAGAAGAACAAGGCGGUAGAUAAUCUCGACAAAAUCGCGACCGGAGUUGCCGGCAAGGGGCUCGAUGUUGGAGGCUAAGGUUUUGGGGUGGUUGUGGUGGAGCCAUAGCAAGGCACUGUGGAACAAUUCAUAGUCGGUGGUUUGUCCGAGAUAACGAAUGAGCUUGAGGGUGGUGAGGGGACUGUGGAACCAGGCCAGCGGCAGAAGUUGCUGGUUUAGAUAUCUGUGAGAGGAGGCGGAGGCUUUCUGCCUGUAGGAGGAAUUCACCUCUACAGCCAACAGAAAACGCAACAGAUCAAUGCAGGGGUUAGUGUUAACACUCUCCAACUCCAACCCCGAUUCGGAUUCCAAUUCCGUUACAUCCUCCUCCUCCUCAAUAUUAAUCUCAUUUGAAGAGAAAUUUGAGCAUAAUUUCAGUGGCCUCUGUGGUGGAUAUUU